GACGGCGCCAAAGCGCCGGCAGAGCUGCUCUGGCUCUGCCUGGCUGCAACUCCAGGCUCAGAAUGGGCCUGGAGCAGGAUGGAAGGAAACGCAAGGAGGGCCCAGACAGAGCCUUGUGUUGGUGUACCGGGUACCUGUGACGCUGUGGCCGUUUUGUGUCAACAUGCAGUCUGUGCCCCAGCAACUGGAGCGCUGGACGGGCCGUCGAGGGCCUGCGUGCCCUUUGCUCCUUGGGGGGCACGGCGCUGGGACCCAGGAGGACCCGGCUUGAGUCCUGGACAUGCGGAUUUCUAGAGUCAGGCAGGGGAGGCAUCCGGCCUCUGGAAGGCUGGGCUUCAGGUAGUGAAGGCGGUGUGUCACUGCGGUGGUAUCUGGGGAGGCGUGCCGAGCCUCUCCGUGUGCGCGUCCCCUCCAGAAAUCUCCACAUCCCCCUGCUUCUCUCUCCACCAGAGCCGCCUCUCCCUCUGCCGACUGCCUGCCUGCCUGCCUGCCUGCCUGUGCCAAGAAGCCUACCCGAAUCGAGGGAAGAGAGAACGAUGCCCGGGAGCGCCUUAACUUCACGCCGGGCGCAAGGGCGGAAGGGGGCCGAUUGGUUGACAGCCGGCUGCCUUGCCUUAAGGAGCAGGGCGUCUGAUGUCAAGCCGCCUCUCCCUCUGCCGACUGCCUGCCUGCCUGCCUGCCUGCCUGCCUGCCUGCCUGCCUGUGCCAAGAAGCCUACCCGAAUCGAGGGAAGAGAGAACGAUGCCCGGGAGCGCCUUAACUUCACGCCGGGCGCAAGGGCGGAAGGGGGCCGAUUGGUUGACAGCCGGCUGCCUUGCCUUAAGAAGCAGGGCGUCUGAUGUCAAGCCGCCUCUCCCUCUGCCGACUGCCUGCCUGCCUGCCUGCCUGCCUGCCUGCCUGCCUGCCUGUGCCAAGAAGCCUACCCGAAUCGAGGGAAGAGAGAACGAUGCCCGGGAGCGCCUUAACUUCACGCCGGGCGCAAGGGCGGAAGGGG
rnacentral:lncRNA from 1 species